UUAACGAGUGGUUUCCACACAUCAUUGACACCAAAUUACUCUUGAAUGCUAAUACUGUGCUUCAACAACGGAUGAAGAAAUCCCAAACAUCUCUCUCGUCAGCAUUUGCAUCAUUAUGUCCACAAAUGUCUCUGGGGGCGAAAAGCACUGAUCUGGCAUUCCAAUUGUGUGUCAAAGUUGAGGUUCAGGUUGAUGAUUUGAGGUAAGGAAGAUAUAUGCCAAUAGCUAUGACCUUUUACUAGUCUUACCGUUUUCAUUGCCCAUAUGUUGAAAGAAAAAAGUAGAUAAAGAGUGAAAACACUGAAACAGGUAUAAUGAUUUUUUUUGCCAUAUUUAUAGAAAAGGGUACAAAGACAGAUAAAUAGUGAAAACAGAUAUAUAAUUAUUCAACUUUCUGAUGUGAAUUUUGUCAUGUUUCAAAGGGCUGUGGUUAGAAAUUAUAACGUUGAGAUCUGACUGGGAACAAAUAUGCAUUACAUACAUGAGAUGUGAUCAGCUCGUGAAAUUUUUUAUGUGUGGCUUUAUUGACUGGCUUUGUGGGAUGCAUAAUUGGGUGCAUCUUAUAGACAAUUCUCAGUUACUAAAGUAAAAUAACUACCACCUAAACAUUUAAAAUAAUAAUUGAAGAACAAGAAAAGCAGAGGAGACACCUUAGAAAUAACUCUUUCCUAUCAAAUUGAUCUGUUUGCAGGUCCUCCAACUGGAAUUCUGGAGCAAAACAUGAAGCUGGAUAUGAUGCUUUUAUGACAGGGUGCGUCUUUGCUCAGGCAUGUGGACAUCUAGGUAUUGAUUUUG
rnacentral:lncRNA from 1 species